AUUUACAAUUUGUACUUUGUCCCAACUUUUUUGGAAUCGGGGUUGUACAUGCUCUCCCAUACCUGGAGUGCCAUCUUGCAGGGGAUGAACGGACAGCAGAAGAUGUGACCGACCUGUCAAACCAGACAGGAAGGUCACGCCUUCGGAAACAUCAGCUGAUAAAAUGCAUCACCAACAACAUCCGGUGACACUCUGAGGAAGACGACAGUUACGUACAUCGAAACAUGUCAGAGCAAAGCCAAGAAGAACCAAAAGCAAAGCCAAGAAGAAAAGUCUAGGACAAAGACAUGAAGCAAGGACUGUACAUAAUCCAAGCAAGACUUUACACCAUAGCCCUGCUGCCUCUAACUAAAUUACACAAGGCAGGUAUUUUGGAAACUUCUUCCUGGCCAGAAGCACCUUGCCUGGGUCAAGCCCUGUCUGACAACCACCAAGAAAUGCAGACAUAGAAAAGAUCUUGACAACUUUGCAUGCUAGGGAGUGGUUUGAGAAAAGCUCCCAGAACCAGCAUGGUGAUCAUGACAACCAGCAUAACACACAAACUAGCAAACUGAGAAGCAACAACAUGACAGUAGUUAUAUAUAAGAAAACUUGGGAAUGGUUUAGUAAGAGUGGCAUGAAGAAAGAGACAGAAGGCAUAUUGAUGGCAGCGCAAGAACAAGCAGUUAGAACAAGACAUAUAAGAAAAGUUAUUGCCAAGGAACCUAUUGAUGGAACAUGCAGAAUGUGUGUGGAAAAAGAAGAGACUGUGGCACACAUAUUAGUAGAAUGCCUCCCAUUCAACAAAAAGUGAUAUGAACAUCAAGCUGGAACAUCAAGUGAUAUGAACAUCAAGUCCUGGAAAAUGAAAACGUGACAUUACUUUGGGAUACCAAAAUUCAGACAGACAAGGUUUUAGAACACUCAUGACCAGAUAUUGUAGUGGUGGAAAAAGAAAACAACAUCUGUGCUACCACAGACAUCACCUGCCUUUUCGAUACACAGAUAAAAGACAAAGAAAAACUCAAAAAAUAUAAUGAACUGAAGCAUGAAAUAAAGAGAA